ensembl:lncRNA
AUUUCUUGACAGGUCUCAGCACAUAGUCUAUACGUGACUGACGACGCAAAUGUGGCCAUUUUUCCUGGAGCUUCUGGUUUUUUUAGCACAUUGGACCUUACACCAAGAGCUCACUAUGAGGUUCACGGUGAGGAGGAGGACGCCUCAUCAGCUUCAAAUGCCACAGCUCGUUUUACGUUCAUGCGAUCACCUGCGACUGCUACUAACGUUACUCCUAGUCCAUCAUCAUCUGCUCAGCGGGCUGCCUCAGCCCCCCUCAGAGCCACUGCCUCUAAAACAUUUCAAAGAUCGGUUUUUCUUGCUGAGGUGGUUGGUGGGAGGCUGAGUCCCAGCAGAAUGGUGGUGGUCCGGUUUUUGGAAUCUGAGGCUACCCUUCAGGGGAUAAUCGGUAAAGUUCAAGAUGCCAUUGGAUGUCAUGACCCAAUGGUAUUGACUGAUGUGCAGGGGAAUGCAAUUUUGGAGUCUGAAGGCACAACUGGGUCCCAGUACUGGAAACAAAAUGCUAGAAAGAUUCUUGCUAUACAAGAACAGGCCUUCCAGGAGGUACAGGGCUCUAAAAGGAGGAGAAUGAGCCGAAAAGAUGAAGAUGCUGCUGGAAUUGGAGAGGUCACUGAGAAGAUAGAAGAGCUUGUACUGGCAUCACAGACCUUACCAGAUAUCACUGCAGCAAUCAGAGAGCUCACCAAUCUAGCUGCCACUCAAAGAGUGAUCCUGACUCCUUCCCAGCUACAGACCAUCAAGCAAGGAUUCUGCUGUGUUAUUUGUAUGAGAAAAUCCAAUGACCAAAAGAUACACGGACCGACCAGGCAACAUUUUUCCAAUCUUCUUUUGUCCAAUUUUGGUGAGCCUGUAUGAAUU